ensembl:processed_transcript
UCCAUCCUGUGCAGAAAGCAGUCUGGUUUCUGGUUGCCUUUGGGUCGAGGUGUGGUAGAAUUUUCGAGGUUUCCAGCGUAUGUCUGCUAAACACUGCCAUGCUUCCCGUCUAAUGGACUGAACUUCUGAAACUAACUGUGGAUUGAACCUAGAGCUUUGCACACGUUACCAAACUAACCACUCAUGCCAGACUCCAGACUGUGAGAUGGUGCUACCCAGAUCCAGUGUGUAUCUCUGUGGGAACGCUCUCGCAUGCACAUACCUCCUCAUUGAUUGAAAACUCAGUCAUGUUGGCCUUGAAGAUUAAUCAUCACAGUAGCAGUCAACCCACUGCCCUGAGCUCUAAAGGGUCUUCCAUGUCCUCAUAUGCCAGUCAGAAAAUUACACUCAACAUAUCCACACCUCCCUCACUACCUCAUUCUCUUAUUUUGGUGUAGAUUUAUUUCAUAGUGCAGUUAGUUGAAGCUUCAAUCAAGUUAUACACCAGGAGUUCCUGCUAUUUCUGUUGAUGAGUGAUGUCCUAUCCUAUUGAUGUACCAUUUGUUGAUGAACUAUUUAUCGUGUAGAGUACAACUGGCUUAUUUUCAACUUGGGAUUAUUAUAAA